rnacentral:misc_RNA from 1 species
AUGCGAUAAGUAAUGUGAAUUGCAGAAUUCCGUGAAUCAUCGAAUCUUUGAACGCACAUUGCGCCCGCCAGUAUUCUGGCGGGCAUGCCUGUUCGAGCGUCAUUUCAACCCUCAAGCCCCCGGGCUUGGUGUUGGGGCUCGGCCCGUCCCUCGUGGCGCGCCGUCCCCGAAAUCCAGUGGCGGUCACGCUGUACUCCUCUGCGUAGUAAUCCAACCUCGCAACGGGACAAAGCCUGGCCACGCCGUUAAACCCCCCACUUCUGAAGGUUGACCUCGGAUCAGGUAGGAAUACCCGCUGAACUUAA